UGAACUUGUUUUUAGAAACGCCAUCGCCGUUAUGGUCGGAUUUAUUAUGGCUCGCGACAGAAACAACCCUUUCGCCGUCAGAACCGCACGUGUUCCGUUCACGUUACCUGCCAGGUCGUAGAACUUUUCGGUCCGGAGCGCGGACGCCAGAGCCCAGCCGGCCCACUGGACCCCCAGGUCCGUCAGCGCGCACUUCACCAGCGUGUUGCCCAUCAUCGCUCCCUGCAGCUCGGCCAGCAGAUCCAAAGUGGGCCUGUGCGUCAUGGAGCCACUCCUCUGGACCCGAAUUCUAAAGUUCAGCGCAGCCUCCGAGCGAGUGCGAAGUUCGCCGCGAAGGAUUCCUGUCAGACGAGAUUAACGCGCCUUGUCUAAUCCCGCUAUUGACAAGGUUUCAAACCCAGUUGGGAGCACACAGUGGCCGUCGAACUGUCACGUGCUUCUCACAAUGCAACUUUUUGAACCAAUCGUUUAAAGUGUCAAAAUUAAGUUGUGAACAUUUCAAUGAGGAUGGCGCCUUCAGUGAAGGAUCAGGAUUUCCUGCUGGGCUGUUGCUCUCCUCUUCUUCAUCCCUCACAUUCUUCUCUCCUCUCCCCAACCUCUCCCUCAUUUCUGAUCCUGUCCUCCCAGCGUUUAUGACACAGCAGCACCAGGGUCAGUCAUGUCGGACAGUCCUCGUGGAGGGUCAGGAGACUUUGCCAAGAAAGUCCAGCGUCAGCUCAGCCGAGGCAAAGAGAAGGUCCUGCAGAGACUGGGGAAGACGGUGGAGACCAGGGACGAGCAGUUCGACCUUUGCCUGCAGCUUUUUAACGACCAGCAGACCGAUGGGAACCGCAUCUACAAGGAUCUGAGGAACUACAUCAGCGCUGUCAGAGACAUGCGCGAAGCCUCCCGCCGUCUGUCCCAGUCCAUGUACGACGUGUACGAGUCUGACUGGGUCGGGGAAGAGGACAUGGGCGCGAUCGUGGAGGGCGAGGACCUGCUGUGGAACGACUACGAGGUCAAGAUGGUGGACCAGGUCAUCAGAACCAUGGAGUCGUACGUGAGCCAGUUCCCGGAUGUCAAGGACAAAGUGGCGAAACGAGGGCGAAAGCUGGUGGACUACGAUUCCUGCCGCCACCAGCUGGAGGCGCUGCAGAGCGCCAAGAAGAGAGACGACGUCAAAAUCAAAAAGGCAGAAGAGGAGUUGAAACUGGCCAGAUGUGUGUAUGAGGGGAUCAACAGCGAGCUGAAGGAGGAGCUCCCGGUGCUGCACGACAGCCGGAUCGGCUGCUACGUGUCCGUCUUCUGCUCCGUGUCCAGCCUGCGGGAGAUCUUCUACAAAGAAAUGAAAACACUCAACAUGGACCUGCAGAACGUGAUCAAGGAGCUGCAGCUGCAAUAUCCAGACAAAGUGUUUGCCGUGAAGGGAGUCAACCGGUAUGGGUCUCUGAGGAGACGGACCCUGAUGUCUCCAAAGGCCUGGAAGUCCAGCUUCUCUGAAUUCCAUCGCAGCUACAAUCCCAGAGGAGGACAGAGGUCCAGCUUCAGGUCUCCUGACAAACCUCGUCAUGGCACGCUGACCCGUGAGAGCUCCAGCAGCCUGGUGGUCUCCCCUCGCUCUCCCUCUCUGGAGAGUCCCACCUCCUGUGCCGGAGAAGUGGGCGAAGAUUCGCCCCCCACUGGGGAGAGGGAAGCGGAGAAGAGACAGGAUCCUCUGACGGAAGACGAUCCUGCAGUUGCUGGGUCCGAGCUGAAGGUGGAGCCGGUGCCAAAGCCUGAAGAGGAGGACGACAGCGAGAGCAGCUGUGGACUGGACCGGUCCUGCGACUCCGAGAGUCUGGACCACCAACUGUCGGCCGAGGUGGAUGAACUUCACAUCGAGGAAGAGGAGGAGGAAGACAACGCUCCCCGAAACCACAAACACAACGGGCUGGAGAACGGAGAGGUGGCCCACUCGGACCCGAGCGCAGACCAGCUGGAGGCCCGUCUCAAGGUUGGACCAGUCCCAGUUCCACAAAACAGAAGCUCUGGACGCGCUACACUUGUGUUUGCCACUGUAGCUUCUUAGCUUGAGCCAGACCGGUGGUCCACUCUCAUUGGCUCGUCCUCUCGCUGCUCAUCCCUGACUAACCCGCUCACGUCUCUCUCUGAAUCCCUUCUCUUAGGUUCAGGAGGCUUCAGCCGAAAACCCGGACUCCAAGAGUACAGUCGUCUGACACCUCACUGCAAGACUGGUCUCAGCAGCUGCAGCAGAGGACAGAGUCGGGUGUCACCUGAGAUUGUCUCACCUUUCUUCUCCAUGUCUGUCGGCCCCGGAGCCACUCUCCAGCCGUCCGUCUCUCUCAGCCGCUGCUCAUGUUUGUCCGCUCCCAUGUUUACACACUCAUCGCAGAGCAGGACCAACUGCUCUUCCUCAGAAUCAUUUUAGGAACUUCUGUCGUGGCAGUAAUAUCACAUUAAUUUCAACCUCGUCAGACCAGUUUAGAGAUGAACCACUGGAGUAUUUCUUUGUUAUUGUUUUGUGAAAAAAAAAAACUCACACGUUCUUAACACAAUUGCUUUUAAUUUGUGACAAAAUACUGUAGUUUUGUUGCUCUGAAGUCUUUAAAUCAAUGUGUGAUUUAAUCAUGUUUCUGAUUAGUACCACUAAAAAUGUGUUGGAAGAAAUUAUAAAUGUUUUUAUUUUAAACAAACUGUGUGAGAACUUUCUGUCGGAGUCAGAGGUCUCACUCUGAACCGAUAUUAUAAAAAUACCGAGGGCCCGUUUUAUGUUUUGUUUGAGCUUGUUUUUAAUCCCUUAUUUGUGUGUUAAUUUCUAGUGUUUGUUUAUAAACGUGUGAGGGCGGGAUUAUAGUGACU